GUAGGCAGCGAGCGUUGUUCGGAGUUACUGGGCGUAAAGGGUGUGUAGGCGGUUCUCUAAGUUUGGUGUGAAAUCUCCCGGCUCAACCGGGAGGGUGCGCCGAAAACUGGGGGACUCGAGUGCGGGAUGGGAGAGUAGAAUUCCUGGUGUAGCGGUGAAAUGCGUAGAUAUCAGGAGGAAUACCGGUGGUGUAGACGGCUCUCUGGACCGCCACUGACGCUGAGACACGAAAGCGUGGGUAGCAAACAGGAUUAGAUACCCUGGUAGUCCACGCCCUAAACGAUGCAUAUUUGGUGUAGGUCAUUCAGUUGAUCUGUGCCGGAGCUAACGCGUUAAAUAUGCCGCCUGGGGAGUACAGUCGCAAGGCUG
rnacentral:rRNA from 1 species